rnacentral:lncRNA from 1 species
GUUCCUGAGAAGAUUGUUAAAAGAAUCAAGUGAGAUUCCACAUCCAUUUUGAUUGAGCAAACAUUUACAGAGUAUUCAUUCUCUCAGGGCUGGGCUCUGUGCAAAGUGCUGAGGAGAAUAAAACUCCACCACUGUUUUCCUGAAAUUCGGAGACUACGAGAGAAGUUCCUCUCAAAGGCUACAGUGCACCAAAGUCAAGGGGAUCUUGUUAGCACUGUUGGUUCUGGUGCCAUAGGUUUAGGGAGAACCUGAGAUUCCCCAGAGAUGUCAGUGCUGGAGGUUCCUGGACCACAUCUUGAUUAACUAAGGCUUUAGGGAGAUGUUGGCGAACAGGUGUUCCUGCAAAGUGGUAAGGGCUGCAACCCUGGCAUCCCAAAGUAGGAUGUGAGCAUAAAGAGGAAGCAGUCAGUUAGUGCUGGGGAGACGGAAGAGGCAGGCUGAGCUGUGAAGUGGGUCAUCUAGGGCCUGAAUUAGUCAAUUUACAGCCAGAAAAGUGGGAAAGGUCUUUGGUCAGAGCAGGCAACGUGGACCUGGACACUGGCUGGCUCCAGCAUCGCGUUAGGAACCAGAGGAGAAGAAUGGCAAGAAAGGAGGCUAGAACGCCCCCUUGGGGCCAGUGGGUGAACAGUUGGUCCUAUUUGCCAAGCUGAGACCUCAGACUCAACGCUGGAGUCAAUAUGCUGUCAAGAGAUUUAGCAGGGCCGUUAUCUUAUAUGUGUGAAAUAGGCAAUUUGCAUAACUGAAAGUAGAGUGUCCUGUGACACCCCCAGGUAGUAAAUGAAAAGAUUAAGACUGUAGGUGAGAGGCGGUGUUUUAGGAGAGCCUUGAACAGGCUUUGGAGAAAAACAGCAGGAAUUGAAUUCUGGCUCCACUAGAAGGAUUUUUCAGCUAAAAAUCUAUUGAGAAAUUUUAUUUGCUUUCUGAAUCUGAGUUUUCUUAUCUAUAGAGUGGAGGUAAUAAAGACCAUCUUAUGGAAUAAUUGUGAAGAUGAAUCCUUUAUGUCAUUCUUUGAAAUAUCAUUUUUUGUUUCCUCAUGGUGCCAUGGAUUAAGGAUCCAGAGCUGUCACCGCUGUGGCUCUGGUCACCGCUGUGGCACGGGUUCAUCCUCUGACCCGGGAACUUCCAUAUGCCACUGGUGAGGCCAAAUUUAUAAUAAUAAUAAUAAUAGUGUUGAUUUUGAGCUCUUAUAAACGCCUGCCUAGGACAUGACCUAGCGGAUUUGGACAGCAGCUAUGUUGAUGGACGUCAAGUGCCUUUUGCCCUGGGUGGUAUUCUGAUGCCUUCGGAGACCGUCUUAGAAGCUCAGUUGGUCCUGUGGGUGACAGGGAUCACCAGUGUUCUGCUUGGACAAUGCUCUGAGAGACUUUAGAGGGUGUUCUAUAAAGAGUGGGAAAGGUUUUCUUAAAUGUUCAAAAAUGAGGAAGACAAAGAAGUGUUUCUGGCCAAGGGAGAGAAGGUAGAGGAUUGCUGUAGUACCUGUCCAAGGAUUUAGUUCAACAAGACAGGUUCAGUUUAUUGGAGAAGGUUUUCCUGACCGAAGCAGAUCUGGGUGAGAUGGCUUUCCCUGUGCUCUGCAGCAUGGAGUGACCAUCUGCAGCACGACCUCGUCACCCUUUGCUUUCUCUACAUGACGUUGCGCUUCUGAAGGCAGGGACGGUUGUCUUCCUCAUUGUGGAUUUCCCACUGCCUGGAGCAGGGACACAAAGUUGGCUUUCAAUAGAUGUUUUCAUCUUCACAGUUCUGUGAGUCGUACUGUGCUCGCUAGAAAGGAAUGACGCUGGCAGAGGGGUUGAAGGAGGUCUGGGGUUUAGGGAGUUGUGGGAGUCUGCAGUGUCCUCUUCAGUUAGUCCAGUUCUGGCUCUGUGUCCUAUUUUGGAUACUGCUUUUGAGAUCCAAGUGUCCCUCUUGAACCCUGUCUGCAUCCACAUCUUGUUUCAUGUUUAUUUUGGCCGAUCACGUUAGAAUAAAGACCUUGUCUCUUCCAUAACUCCCCUUCCCAGAAACCUGAUGUCGUCUCUGAAUCCCAGCCUGGGAACUGGAGCCAGUGGGCCUCUAUGCUGCAUGUUGGAUGUGUCUUCCCUGGGGGACGACUCCACCUAUCCCUGGAGGGGAGGCGCUGAAUGCUCCUGAGCCCUUCAACUUGAUCUCUCCCUGGCUUCUAGCAGCUGCGGAGAAAUCCAGCACCUGCCUGUUAUCCUCUCCUUGGAUGCUGCGUUUGGUCGGAUAGACUGGGUCCUGUCUCAGCACCCAGGGUAGCAUCUCUCCAUUGAAGGGCUCUGAUUUCCAGGUUCUGACCCUUCCUGGUCUGUUUUGUUCAGUUAAUCCUGAGUGGACCAAGAUCAAAAGCAUGAUUACAUUAAAUGAAUAGGAGUUUUAUAGAAUGGAAUGUUUCUUCAUUUCCAAUAAGGAUUUUUAAAAGGUCAACUUUGCUUCAGUACAUGCCAAAGGGGUGGCAUUUAGAGAGUAGUAAAUAUCAUUUAAGAAAAUUCCCUUCCUAAAAUAGUGUAUCCUGCCUAGUACUGGCGAGAAGGUUAGAUCAAGGGUUUCUACUCUCAGGGGUAUUUCUCUGUUAGUUAUAGUCACAUGUUCCCUGACUUUAUUUCAUAUGCUAGCAUACAACUUUAGCAAAACUCGUGUCAGACCUGUUUCUAUGAAUAAAUUUACUGCGGUUCUUUUUGUGGUAUUAUCUCCUGCCAUCUAAUAAACAGAGGAUUUUUGAAGCAAGUUUUAUUCAUGAAAAUAAAAUACUUCAGCAUCAUGAAAGAAUGUUGAAUAAUG